AUGCGCCUUGCCAGCCCGCUCAGGUGUGCCAGCAGCCGCGGUAAUACGGAGGGUGCAAGCGUUAAUCGGAAUUACUGGGCGUAAAGCGCACGCAGGCGGUUUGUUAAGUCAGAUGUGAAAUCCCCGGGCUCAACCUGGGAACUGCAUCUGAUACUGGCAAGCUUGAGUCUCGUAGAGGGGGGUAGAAUUCCAGGUGUAGCGGUGAAAUGCGUAGAGAUCUGGAGGAAUACCGGUGGCGAAGGCGGCCCCUGGACGAAGACUGACGCUCAGGUGCGAAAGCGUGGGGAGCAAACAGG
rnacentral:rRNA from 1 species